GACGAAGGAUCCAAGCGUUAUCCGGAUUCAUUGGGUUUAAAGGGAGCGUAGGCGGACUUAUAAGUCAGUGGUGAAAGCCGAUAGCUUAACUAUCGAACUGCCAUUGAUACUGUAGGUCUAGAGUACAGAUGAUGUUGGCGGAAUAUGACAUGUAGCGGUGAAAUGCAUAGAUAUGUCAUAGAACACCGAUUGCGAAGGCAGCCGACAAAACUGUAACUGACGCUGAGGCUCGAAAGUGCGGGGAUCAAACAGG
rnacentral:rRNA from 1 species